rnacentral:rRNA from 1 species
GAUAAACGCUGGCGGCGUGCCUUAUGCAUGCAAGUCGUACGUGAGACCGGCUUCGGCCGGUUGAAAGUGGCGAACGGGUGAGUAACACGUAGGAACCUGCCCGGAAGUGGGGGAUAACUCCGCGAAAGCGGGGCUAAUACCGCAUGUGGUCGCAAGACCAAAGCUUCGGCGCUUCCGGAGGGGCCUGCGGCGGAUUAGCUAGUUGGUGGGGUAACGGCCUACCAAGGCGACGAUCCGUAGCUGGUCUGAGAGGAUGGUCAGCCACACUGGAACUGAGACACGGUCCAGACUCCUACGGGAGGCAGCAGCAAGGAAUUUUGCGCAAUGGGCGAAAGCCUGACGCAGCAACGCCGCGUGGGGGAUGAAGGCC